CGUAAGGCCAUGUACUGUAACCUGUCAGGCUGUCAGCAGCAAAAGUGAAACCUGUUUGAUUUCUUAAGUGUUUAAAAUGACAAAAGCUUUUUGUUUGAUAUGUUCAACUUAUCGAAAAAAAAGAGAUCGCCGAAGUUUUUUCAAAGUGCCAGAAUGCAACAUUAACAGUAAUUCAAUUGAGAAAGAACUCAUUGAAAGAAGAAGAGCCGAGUGGUUGAAGUUGUCAAAAAGGAAUUAUAAUAUAUCCCAACUAUUUGUUUGCUCUGAUCAUUUUGUUUCAGGGAAACCUGCAUAUGUGUAUAAAACUGAAGACAUAGACUGGGUUCCUACUAAGAAUCUCAAAACUCAACCAGACAAUGUUCCUAACCUGUGUAUUAGUAAUGAAGAAAGUUGAAUUACUAUAAUUAUCUUGAUAAUAUUCUGAAUGUAAACAACAAUAACAUUUUGGUUGUACGUACCCUGCAAUACAAUCACAAAAAGCAACAA